AGUGAACGCUGGCGGUAGGCCUAACACAUGCAAGUCGAACGGCAGCACAGUAAGAGCUUGCUCUUACGGGUGGCGAGUGGCGGACGGGUGAGGAAUACAUCGGAAUCUACUUUUUCGUGGGGGAUAACGUAGGGAAACUUACGCUAAUACCGCAUACGACCUACGGGUGAAAGCAGGGGAUCUUCGGACCUUGCGCGAUUGAAUGAGCCGAUGUCGGAUUAGCUAGUUGGCGGGGUAAAGGCCCACCAAGGCGACGAUCCGUAGCUGGUCUGAGAGGAUGAUCAAGCACACUGGAACUGAGAAACGGUCCAGACUCCUACGGGAGGCAGCAGUGGGGAAUUUUGGACAAUGGGCGCAAGCCUGAUCCAGCCAUACCGCGUGGGUGAAGAAGGCCUUCGGGUUGUAAAGCCCUUUUGUUGGGAAAGAAAAGCAGCAGGUUAAUACCCCGCUGUUCUGACGGUACCCAAAGAAUAAGCACCGGCUAACUUCGUG
rnacentral:rRNA from 1 species